rnacentral:lncRNA from 1 species
UUUUUCUUGUUCCAGAGCUCCUGUACAAAUGAUUUACAUGGUGAUCCGGAAAAAGUUGAAGCAAGCAUAUAAAUAGUGACCCUCCUAGUGAGUGAACAUAAUGUAAAAAAAAACUCAUUUUCAUUUAGUGCAAACUAUGAUUCAAUCUUUCUUCUUUUUCCAACAAAAAUGUUAAUAUUCAGAAGGUAGUUGGAGACAGGGCUACACCUUAUGAAGGUUUUAAUCUUACGGUUCAAUGAAUUGCAUAGGCAGAGCACACAGUCGAUGGAUUCAAACUAUUUUUAAGAGAUGAUGUGGCAAGGCUAAGAAGAUGAAAAAUAAUUAAGAAGAAAAGUUCAUGCUCAACAACUUACGAAGAUUUAACUGGGUAGUGCCUCAUGGCAGUCAUCAACCUUUGAGCCGUAGAACCGUAAGAUCAAACUGAGACUCAAGCCUGCAUAACCAUAUGAAGAAAAGGAUCAUCAACAAAGAGGACAAAGUGAAUCAGGAACCAGUUCCUGGUUCCUCUAAAAAAUCAUUCUAAAUGACAAACUGUGAGAAGAAAAAAGAACUGGUCUAAUGACAUAGAUG